ensembl:lncRNA
GUGAUUCUGUUAUAUUUAUUCUUUUUUCAGACUUUUUUCAGUUAUAGGUUAUUAUAAGAUACUGAGAGAGCUAUAUGUAAAUCCUUGGUGUUUGCCUAUUUUAAAUACAGUGGGUGUAUAUCUGUUGAUCUCAUACUCCAGAUUUAUCCCUCCUCCCCUUUUCCCUUUGGUAACCGUAAGUUUGUUUUCUGUGCCUGUAAGUUGGUUUCUCUUUUCUAAAUAAGUUCAUUUGCUUCUUUUUUUUUUUUAGAUUCCUCAUAUUAAGCUGACUUACUUCACUUAGCAUGAUAGUAUCUAGCUCCAUCCACGUUGUUGCAAAAGACAUUUCAUCCUUUUUAUGGCUGAGUAUUAUUCCAUGGUGUGCGUAUCACAUCUUCUUUAUCCACUUAUCUGUUGAUGGACAUUUAGGUUAAAGUACCAAAUAUUAGCAUUAGAGUAAUCAGCCAAUGGUGAAUUGUUUUAUUUGUACUGGGGAGAAAAAUAAAGGAAUCAUAGCAUUAGUUGAAAACUAUUUUGCAUGGCUAAUGUGCAACUAACCCUGAAAAUCCUCACUACUCCCCACUUCUGCAAGAACUUUUUGAGUUUCCAGAAUCGAAAAGGUAAAUUAAAAUAUGGCUGUCAUUUUUGUUUCAGGGGAAUGGUUUGUAAGUAUUAUGUCAAUAGUAUUAUAUUUUAAUGGUCUGUACUAGGCACCAGAAAAUAGAUACAAUCUUGUUAAUAACACGCUUAUAAAUGUCCACAAGAAUGAUAAUUAAUCAGCUUAUGUAAUUUUUUUCAUGUGGUGACAGAAAAUACUUACUGGGCACAGAGCUAAAGCAAAUACAUAAAAAGUGACGUUAUUGAGUAAACAUAAGGCUUCACAAGCCUCCAGUGAAGCUCAGGAAACACAGACGUUUCCACUAUUCACUCUCUCUGCUCGUGCUGACGUCUCACCCACAAAACACGUUUCCAACCAAAGUGAACCUUGAGAAAUCGGUGUUCACUCACAGAUAAAUCAAGGGGCAAUACUAUCCCACAACGACAGGAAGAAAUUUCACAUCCAGGUUUGUGAGCGAGAUUGGCCUGUCAUGCCCUUCCUGAAUUGGGUCAAGUUUUGGUGUCAGGGUUUUGCUGGACAAGACUGAGGAGUAUGGAAGACCUUCGAAAAGGUGUAUGAUACGGUGUUAUUUUUUCCUU